CCUACGGGAGGCAGCAGUGAGGAAUAUUGGUCAAUGGGCGGGAGCCUGAACCAGCCAAGCCGCGUGAGGGAAGAAGGUACAGCGUAUCGUAAACCUCUUUUGUCAGGGAACAAAGGCGGGGACUAGUCCCCGGAUGAGGGUACCUGAAGAAAAAGCAUCGGCUAACUCCGUACCAGCAGCCGCGGUAAUACGGAGGAUGCGAGCGUUAUCCGGAUUUAUGGGGUUUAAAGGGUGGGCAGGCGGCCUGUUAAGUCAGCGGUAAAAGCCCGGGGCUCAACCCCGGCGAGCCGUUGAUACUGGCGGGCUGGAGUUGGAGAGAAGUACGCGGAAUGCGCGGUGUAGCGGUGAAAUGCUUAGAUAUCGCGCAGAACCCCGAUUGCGAAGGCAGCGUACCGGCUCCACACUGACGCUGAGGCACGAAAGCGUGGGUAUCGAACAGGAUUAGAUACCCGAGUAGUC
rnacentral:rRNA from 1 species